AUUGAACGCUGGCGGCAGGCCUAACACAUGCAAGUCGAACGAGUGGCGGACGGGUGAGUAAUGUCUGGGAAACUGCCUGAUGGAGGGGGAUAACUACUGGAAACGGUAGCUAAUACCGCAUACCAUCGGAUGUGCCCAGAUGGGAUUAGCUAGUAGGUGGGGUAACGGCUCACCUAGGCGACGAUCCCUAGCUGGGCUGAGAGGAUGACCAGCCACAAUGGAACUGAGACACGGUCCAGACUCCUACGGGAGGCAGCAGUGGGGAAUAUUGCACAAUGGGCGUAAGCCUGAUGCAGCCAUGCCGCGUGUAUGAAAAAGGCCUUCGGGUUGUAAAGGACUUUUGGCGGUGAGGCUUUAACCGCCCAGGAAGCCCCGGCUAACUCCGUGCCAGCAGCCGCGGUAAUUC
rnacentral:rRNA from 1 species